GACGAACGCUGGCGGCGUGCUUAACACAUGCAAGUCGAACGGAAAGGCCCUGCUUUUGUGGGGUGCUCGAGUGGCGAACGGGUGAGUAACACGUGAGUAACCUGCCCUUGACUUUGGGAUAACUUCAGGAAACUGGGGCUAAUACCGGAUAGGAGCUCCUGCUGCAUGGUGGGGGUUGGAAAGUUUCGGCGGUUGGGGAUGGACUCGCGGCUUAUCAGCUUGUUGGUGGGGUAGUGGCUUACCAAGGCUUUGACGGGUAGCCGGCCUGAGAGGGUGACCGGCCACAUUGCGACUGAGAUACGGCCCAGACUCCUACGGGGGGCAGCAGUGGGAAAUAUUGCACAAUGGGCGGAAGCCUGAUGCAGCAACGCCGCGUGCGGGAUGACGGCCUUCGGGUUGUAACCCGCUUUCGCCUGUGACGAAGCGUGAGUGCCGGUCAUGGGUAAAGAAGCACCGGCUAACUACGUG
rnacentral:rRNA from 1 species